GCGUUCGUGGUGUAUCGGUAACAUUGGGUCUUCCCACAAGACAGCUCUUGGCCUAGCACCGGGUUCGACUCCCGGCGGACGCA